GAUCAUGGCUCAGGACGAACGCUGGCGGCGUGCUUAACACAUGCAAGUCGAACGGAAAGGCCCUGCUUGCAGGGUACUCGAGUGGCGAACGGGUGAGUAACACGUGGGUGAUCUGCCCUGCACUUCGGGAUAAGCCUGGGAAACUGGGUCUAAUACCGGAUAGGAGCCAUUUUUAGUGUGAUGGUUGGAAAGUUUUUUUCGGUGUAGGAUGAGCUCGCGGCCUAUCAGCUUGUUGGUGGGUAAUGG
rnacentral:rRNA from 1 species